GACGAACCGUGCGAGCGUUGUUCGGAAUCACUGGGUUUAAAGGGCGCGUAGGCGGGCUGUCAAGUCGGUGGUGAAAUCGUUCCGCUCAACGGGACAAUGGCCUUCGAUACUGGCGGCCUGGAGGGAGGUAGGGGCAUGCGGAACUUCCGGUGGAGCGGUGAAAUGCGUAGAUAUCGGAAGGAACACCGAUGGCGAAAGCAGCGUGCUGGACCUUUUCUGACGCUGAGGCGCGAAAGCCAGGGGAGCAAACGGG
rnacentral:rRNA from 1 species